rnacentral:rRNA from 1 species
CGGAGGAUCCAAGCGUUAUCCGGAAUCAUUGGGUUUAAAGGGUCCGUAGGCGGUUUUGUAAGUCAGUGGUGAAAGCCCAUCGCUCAACGGUGGAACGGCCAUUGAUACUGCAAGACUUGAAUUACUAGGAAGUAACUAGAAUAUGUAGUGUAGCGGUGAAAUGCUUAGAUAUUACAUGGAAUACCAAUUGCGAAGGCAGGUUACUACUAGUGGAUUGACGCUGAUGGACGAAAGCGUGGGGAGCGAACAGGAUUAGAUACCCUGGUAGUCCACGCCGUAAACGAUGGAUACUAGCUGUUCGGAGCAAUCUGAGUGGCUAAGCGAAAGUGAUAAGUAUCCCACCUGGGGAGUACGUUCGCAAGAAUG